rnacentral:tRNA from 1 species
CUAUUGUAGCUUAAAACUAAAGCGUAACACUGAAGAUGUUAUAAUGGAUCAUAGGAAAUUCCAAGAGCAC